rnacentral:rRNA from 1 species
GAUGUACGCUGGCGGCGUGCCUAAUACAUGCAAGUCGAGCGAACAGACGAGGAGCUUGCUCCUCUGACGUUAGCGGCGGACGGGUGAGUAACACGUGGAUAACCUACCUAUAAGACUGGGAUAACUUCGGGAAACCGGAGCUAAUACCGGAUAAUAUAUUGAACCGCAUGGUUCAAUAGUGAAAGACGGUUUUGCUGUCACUUAUAGAUGGAUCCGCGCCGCAUUAGCUAGUUGGUAAGGUAACGGCUUACCAAGGCAACGAUGCGUAGCCGACCUGAGAGGGUGAUCGGCCACACUGGAACUGAGACACGGUCCAGACUCCUACGGGAGGCAGCAGUAGGGAAUCUUCCGCAAUGGGCGAAAGCCUGACGGAGCAACGCCGCGUGAGUGAUGAAGGUCUUCGGAUCGUAAAACUCUGUUAUUAGGGAAGAGCAAAUGUGUAAGUAACUAUGCACGUCUUGACGGUACCUAAUCAGAAAGCCACGGCUAACUACGUG